rnacentral:lncRNA from 1 species
GCAUGAUUGUCUUAUAUUUACUGGAGUCACAGGGAUAGACCGUGUCCUUGCAGACGUGCUCUCCAGCCUAGUUGGAAGCUGCUGCUGAUUUGCAGAUGCUAUCGAAUGCACCUUUGGAGGCAACCCGCGCUGAAGAUGAGGAGCAGGUGCACGUGCUCCAAAGCUUCCCCGUGGAACUGGCGCGUGCUGAAGAUGAGGAGCAGGUGCACGUGCUCCAAAGCUUCCCCGUGGCAGAACUGGCAUGAGACUAAAAGGAGUUGAUGUUGAUCUGACAAUGUUGUUUAGUAUGGAGGGAUGAGGUCUGCCCAUUUGUGAAGAUGGCGAUGAUGAUUGUGAUGGUCGAUCGACCUG